AAGAAAGCUGGUGGGGUGGCUACUGCUUUCUAGAUUACUCAGUGUGUGACUGGAAACACACUGGUCGCUUUGCACGGUCACAGCCGGCACAGCCUGUAGUCACAGAAUGUUCUGGGCUCACCCUCUUCUCUGGCCUGGGGAAGUGAGGCUCAGCGUAGAGGCUGUACCCACAGGCACAUGACGGUCUGCACCCAGGCCAGGGCUCAGUGAGGAGCCGGAGUGUCCCGGCCUGCCUGGACUCCAGCCGGGACCUCCCACAUGAGGCUCAUUCAUCUAUGCCCAGGAUUCUCAAAGAACCCCGGCCCCAGCCUGCUCUCUGUCAUGUGCUGAGCCCCAAGCUUACCCAUGCCUCCUGCCGUGGGGACCAGAGAAUGAGAAGACCACCAGGGAGACCCGCCCUGGAGACCAUGGUGUGCUGCUGACUCACGCUGGAUGUGCAGUCUUGAAGGAAUCCUACGCUUCAUGAAUGAGGAUUUGACAUCUGGCAGAGGUCUUUAUGAACACAUUUAUGAUCAUCCUUCAAAGCAACCACAUGAAAUGGGCCAGGGGCUUGUUCUCUUUUAGCAGACAGACGGGUUGAGUCACCACAAGAUGCUGUUAUGGUUUAAAUGUGUGGAGCUAUAUAUAUACAUACACACAUACACAUGUAUAUAUCAAUCAAGCUAUACUUAUCCCCAAUAACAGAGAGGAAAAAUAUAUUAUUAGAAUAAGAGCCGCAUAUUUUGGAAAACUUACCAUGUGCCAGAGACUGUUCUAAUUAUUUUAUAAACAUGUCUCUUGUGGUUUUCAAGAUAACUAUAGAAGGUAACUAUUAUUACUUUUUAACAAAUGAAAGCAAACCUCAGGUUAAGUGACUGGCCCAAGGUCACACAGCAAGCAGUGACAGAGCUAAGUUGCGCUGGCUCUAAAGACCAUGUGUUAUCAACAGCGUCCUCCUGCCUUCUUAUGAAAUGGAAUCCAUAUCAAACUGCUAAGCUUUGUUUUUAGCAAAUAACAUGACUGUCUGGGCUGUGGGCUUAAGGAACAGUGAGUUUGGGGGCAAAGGUCACCCUCUAAUAGUGCUUCAUAAUAUUUCUCCCAGAGAAAGACUCUGGAGCCAGGCAGAUCUGGAUCCAGAUUCCAGUUCUGCCACUUCCUAGCUGUGUCCUCUCACUGAGCUCUCAGAGGCCUCCUUGGCCCGCAUGCUCAGUGGAGUGUCUGGUUGGCCCCGCAGCCCUUGUGUCCAGAUCUGCUGGGCGACACAGUGCCUGGCUGUGCCCUGCAGAGGCUUUCCUGUCCCUGGCUCCCAUGCUUCCCCUGAGGAGAGCAGGCGAUGGGUGUCAGCUUAUGUGAGCCCUUUGGUUGCAUGGAUCGGGUGAAAAACAGACAGAGCUGAAGAAUUUGAACUGAGAUGUCAAUUGUGGAGCAGGAUUACUCAUAGCAGCCACCGCCCACUAGGCCAGAACACCUUCGUUUAAACAAACCAACAUCCCAGGGGACAGUGCCUGUUGAGCAAGCUGCUGAGAGCCCUUCACUAGUGCUGAGUCCUCAGGCCUGCAGGGGACACUCCACAUCUGACCCUGCAGGAGAGCGGUGUCCAGGAGCAGGCACCUCAGAUCCAUCCAAGUCACACAGGGAGGCCAGAAGGGCAGCGGGGACACUGAACGCUCUACACGUCCUGAGGUCCCUGACCUCAUAGGCUGGAGGGGAGCAUUUGCUUUGUCUUGUGGAAAGUCCCCAAGUGGAUGGGCUAACAAUCGAUUCCAGUUGCACCCACGCUGCUAACUCUGGCCAUGUUUCCUAUACUUCCGUUCCUGUGAUCCAUCUCUUGCCCCUUCCAGAUCAGACAGUGACCUCCCGGGCCUCCUGGGGAUGCAGUUGUCCUCCCUGCACUCAGAUCUGGAGCUGCUGCUUCCUAGCGGAGGAGUCAGCCUACCGAGCCAGGCCGUUGUCAAGCCCUGAGCCCUCCCCACUUCCGCCUCUGCCCGCUUUCCUGUCCCAGCUGUGAGCCUCUCCGGGGACUCAUUUAAACUGAAGACAAUUGCCUCAGAUAAAGAACAACUGGCCUCCUCCCUAUGUGGCUAAAAUUAUCAAAAACCGAAGAGGGCGUUGCUGACCUCAGCCUUCCCCAGCCUUUCUCCUGCCUUGGUCCACUUGAAUAUCCCUCUGGGAGCCUGUGACAGCUGCCUACGUGGGACCCCACACAGAAACGGGGCUGAAGAAGGCAGUCCCAGCCUCGCAAGGCAUUCAGUUCCUGCAGUGUCUGCAGCCAAAUCCCAAGAUAGAGCCAGUCUGCUUGGUUCCCUGGCCCCAGGUUUCUCAGAGCUCCUCCGGCAGCCCAGGAGGCUGAGCUGCACUGCCUGCAUUUCCUGGCUUCACAUCACGUACACAUAGAGCUUGGGGCCCGGGCAACCAUGGCAUGGAAGCCCAGACCACCUAAAUUCUUCCUUAGGACCACCAGUGCCAUUGCCUCAGCCAUAACCCCCUGAGACUCCUCGCGGACCAGCAUGGCGACUGGUCCCACAACCAUCUCCAUGCCUGCUUCCUCUUCCCCAUUCAAGCUUCUCAACAUCUGUCAUUCUUGGUGUUAGCUAUAUCCCAGCUCCUGUAUUAUUCCAUUGCAUCCAGAAUGCUUUGAGGAAGGAAUGUCAUAGACCCCCUUUUUUAACCCCCUCUUCCCAGAGAGAUGUGCUCAGGAAUAGGUGCCCAACAGGAAGUAUUUGAUUGAGAGCUUAUUUGUCCCUCCAGGAGAUAUUCAAGGAGAGCCCCCAUCCAGACCCCAAGCGAGAAGAGCUACCGUGUCUCACAGGGCCCACAGCCCAUCACCCACAUCAUCCCACGGAGGGCGGGGAUUAUGCCCAGUGUGCAGAAGGGUUGACAAAGGCCAGGUAGGGGAAGUGGCUGGCUCUGCUUACAUGGACCCAAGACUCACUCCAGAACCCCUGACCUUCCGCUGAAGGAUCUUUGCACCAACUCUCCUGGCCCCAGUGGGUCUGGCUCACCAGAAGUUAGGCCUGGAAGGGAGGAGGCUGGGUGGGGGGACAUAGAAGGCAAAAGCAGCAGUGUCCUCACAUGGAACUGUUCCUCCAGGUCCUUUCCCUGGGACCCCUCCCUGGAGAGCUCUCCCUGCUCUCUCUGGCUUCCUUUCCCUUCUGUCAACCCUAAUAGCAUAGGUUUUGGUGUCAGGCAGUCCUGCGUUGGAAUCUCAGAUUCCCAGGGACAGUCAUGAUUUAUACGUGUUGUCCCGGUAUACUAAUACAUCAAGGCUCCUUGUCACCCUCAAACAUGCGCAUUAGGACCAUGCAUCAUGUGUCCCGCUUACAAAGACAGAAGGCAAGGUCUGUGGACAGCUGGAGGAUGACCUAGUUAGGGAGCCUCUAGGAACCCAUCUAGUUCUGCGAUGGAGGGGAACAGAGAAUGGGGUGUUUCCCUGAUGACCCUGCUGUGGAGGAGCUGGCUGCUUCUGCAGGGAGAUGCUGCAGCCCCAGAAGGAAGCCCUGGCCAUGUGUCUCAAGUUGCUUUGCAAAACAAGCACCAGGAAAGAAAAACAGCAUCUAUAUUUCCCUGAGGUGGGCCAGCAUCCAGAGGCUGAAGGCACCUGGGGAUAGGGACACUACAUCACACACUUCAGGGGGUGCCAGUCAUGUCACGGUCUGUGUGAACGGUGCCUCCUGGGAAUGUACAGCUCCCAGCCUGCUCACUGCAAAGCAGGAAUUGGUGAGCUGUGACUAGAUGAUGUCAGAGAGCAAGAAUAAGUAAGGACCAGGAAAGCUACAAAAUAUAGAAGACUACAUCUUUUUUAAAUUAAUUAAUUAGUUAAUUUAUUUAUUUAUUUAUUAUGUUUUGAGACAGAGCCUUGCUCUGUUGCUCAGGCUGGAGUGCAGUGGUAUGAUCUCUGCUCACUGCAACCUCCAUCUACCAGGUUCAAGCAACUCUCCUGCCUCAGCCUCCUGAGUAGCUGGGAUUACAGGCGCUCAUCACCAUGCCCAGCUAAUUUUUGUAUUUUUAGUAGAGACAGGGUUUCACCAUGUUUGCCAGGCUGGUCUCAAACUCCUGACCUUGUGAUCCAUCUGCCUCAGCCUCCCAAAGUGCUGGGAUUACAGGCAUGAGCCACCAUGCCCAGCCGAAAGCCUACAUCUUUAAGGAGAGGAAUCAUUCUGUCUGGGGAGGAACUCCUUUAAAUCAGUUCAACUCAACUCAUAUGAACAAAUAUUGAUCAUGCAAUUACUGUGCGCUCUGCUGGGCAAGGCCAUUAUGGUGGGGGUGGCGGUGGGGUGAUCAGGCAUCCUGAUCAGGCAGGGGUGAUCAGGCAGGCGGUGGGGUGAUCAGGCAUUGAGAAGCUCAUAGGACAGGAGGGGAGUGCGCAGGGUCUGUCCCUUCCUCUCCCCAGGCAGA
rnacentral:lncRNA from 10 species